CCUGAGUCAGUGAUGUUACUUAGAAACUGUGUUAUCUAUCUGUAACUUCCUAAAGGGAAUUGAAAAUUUUAACUUGCUGAGAUCCAAU